ACGCUUAAUUUCCAACUUUUACAGUUGAAAAGCGGGGGAACCAGUUAAUUGGGGCGAAUCAUUGAGCAUUAGAAUGUAGGGUACCAUCUUACCCGAGUCCGUCAGCUAACCUCGUCAGCAG
rnacentral:sRNA from 1 species